GCUGGGGAGAGGAGGUCUUGGCCCCCGGCCAGAGACAAGCAGGCACCAAAGGACAAACAGCAAUGGUGUCUUGACAUGCUGUCAAGGAAGUGAAGACCUGCGGGGAGCACCCUGCCCCCAGGAAUGGCUGGAAUGAGAGUCGACUGGAGUCAAGGUUCAGCUGAAAGGUCUGAUUCUCCCGCAUACCUUUACACAGAGUCCCACACAGGAGAGGGAGCUGCGGGCGCGCAU